ensembl:lncRNA
CACCCUGCGAGCACUCAUUCCUGCAGCUGUAGGCACCAAGCAGGGAGAACCCACAGAGCUUACAGGAACCCCCGUUCCUCUGCCUGCCCCAGCAUGGAAAACUCAGUCGGGAGCAAGCCCUGGGUCUGUGCACUGCUCCUGCCCCAGCUGAAGCAGUACAGCUGUUGCUUUAGUAGAGAAAGGGAUUGGAUUUCACAGGCUGUGUAAUCUGCGACAGAGCUCUUUGGCUUGGGGAGAGCAACAAGCCUCACCCAGGCUUAGCCAUCCCCUUUCUGCCCGUAGAGGAACGCCCCGGUCGACAUAGAAGGAAAAUUGUUUGCUGAAUUUCUGCACAGCCCUCCUUCCAAUUGCUGGAGAGAGAGGGGGGAGUGAGAAAGAGAGAGAGUUUAAGGCAGGCUCUGCACUGGUGUUCUGGGCUAUUUCAACUUCAGGGCAACUUUAGAGAACUUCAGUUAUUUUUGCUGUAACUACCAGUAUGCCUGGAAGGCAUUUCCCUCCAACACUGGACAGAGGAGCAGUGCUGAGCUCCUGCAGGAGCUGAGCUUAGACCCUGCUGGGACCGUGCAGGUGGAGAUCAGGAUAACACCCCUGUGGCAAGAAGGAUCCCUCAGAUGACCUGCAGCAAUGGCAACUCACUAAAUCUACGUGUUCACUAAUGCCUUGUGCUCCGGAUGUUAAGCAAAAAGAUAUACUUGGGAACAGGGGAGCCCAGCAUAUGCUCCGCUGCCACAGCCAACAGCAGUGCCUGCAG